rfam:Saccharothrix sp. ST-888 contig-172, whole genome shotgun sequence.
CUUCACCGAGCCGAGCCAGAGCGGCCGGUCCUCGGCGCGGUCCUGGCCGUAGGUGGCGAUCAGGGCCUGGGCCUC